GACGAACGCUGGCGGCGUGCUUAACACAUGCAAGUCGAGCGGUAAGGCCCUUUCGGGGGUACACGAGCGGCGAACGGGUGAGUAACACGUGGGUGACCUGCCUUUAGCUCUGGGAUAAGCCUGGGAAACCGGGUCUAAUACCGGAUAUGACUCCGCGGCGCAUGUUGUGGGGUGGAAAGCCUUGUGCGGCUGGAGAUGGGCCCGCGGCCUAUCAGCUUGUUGGUGGGGUGAUGGCCUACCAAGGCGACGACGGGUAGCCGGCCUGAGAGGGCGACCGGCCACACUGGGACUGAGACACGGCCCAGACUCCUACGGGAGGCAGCAGUGGGGAAUCUUGGACAAUGGGCGCAAGCCCUGAUCCAGCCAUGCCGCGUGAGGGAUGACGGCCU
rnacentral:rRNA from 1 species